rnacentral:tRNA from 1 species
GGAUUCGUGGUCCAACGGGAAGACAUCCGCCUCCAGAGCGGGCGAUGGCUGUUCGAUUCGGUCCGAAUCCA